AUUGAACGCUGGCGGCAGGCCUAACACAUGCAAGUCGAGCGGAGCGGCGGACGGGUGAUUAAUGCCUAGGAAUCUGCCUGGUAGUGGGGGAUAACGUCCGGAAACGGGCGCUAAUACCGCAUACUAUCACAUGAGCCUAGGUCGGAUUAACUAGUUGGUGGGUUAAAGGCCUACCAAGGCGACGAGCCGUACCUGGUCUGAGCGGAUGAUCAGUCAAACUGGAACUAUGACAGGGUCCAGACUCGUACGGAAGGGUACAGUGGGGAAUAUUGGACAAAGGGUGAAAGCCUGGUCCAGACAUGCAGCGUGUGUGAAGAAGGUCGUCGGAUUGUAAAGAGCUUUAAGUUGUGAGGCGUUACCAACAGAAUAAGCCCCGGCUAACUUCGUGCCAGCAGCCGAGGUAAUUC
rnacentral:rRNA from 1 species